rnacentral:rRNA from 1 species
UGAGCAAUCUGCCCUUCUCAUCGGAAUAAGCGUUGGAAACGACGUCUAAUGCCGAAUACGACCUCCUUUCGCAUGAUCGGAGGUGGAAAGCUCCGGCGGAGAAGGAUGAGCUCGCGGCCUAUCAGCUAGUUGGUGUGGGUAAUGGCCCACCAAGGCGACGACGGGUAGCCGGCCUGAGGAGGGCGAUCCGGCCACACGUGGGACUGAGACACGGCCCAGACCUCCGUAGGG